UUUAUCUGUUUUUUUUUUUCAGAUUUUAAAAUCUGGAAAAUCCAAAUUUUGAAAUCAUCAACUUCUCCCUCGAUCCCGAAAUUUCUAUACCUAAAUCCUCUUUUCUCUUCCUUCUUUACAAUUGAUACAAAGAACGCAGGGUGGUGCACGGUUGUGCUGGUCGACGUGGUGGGGUUCGCCGUGAUUCCGAUUGUUGGAUAUUCAAGUUCCACAGUUGCAUUAGCUCUGGUGGUAGCGGCAGCUUUCUUAUCGCAGCUGUUACUCGAGGAAGUAUAGUUGUAGAGACAGAUGGAUCACUAUGGUUCUUCUGGAGGAAGCUGGACGAUGAUCCCAACACACAAUUCAAAUGUCCAAUCCCAAUCGAACCAGGACCCUAACCUCUUUCUACAACAACAACAACAAUUUCUCCAGCCACAACCUUUUCAGCAAGCAUUACAACCUCAGUCUCCAUUUCAACAGCACCAGCACCUUUAUCAGCAGCAACAACAGCAGCAACGUCUAUUACAACAACAACAACAGCAACAACAGCAGCAGCAACAACAGAACCUUCACCAAUCACUGGCCUCUCACUACCAUCUCUUACAUUUGGUGGAGAAUUUGUCUGAGGUUAUUGAACAUGGAAACCCAGAUCAGCAAUCAGAUGCAUUGAUCAAUGAAUUGAGUAACCACUUUGAGAAGUGCCAACAGCUGUUAAACUCGAUCUCGGAGUCGAUUAGCACCAAGGCUAUGACAGUUGAAGGACAGAAGAAGAAACUAGAGGAAAGUGAGCAAUUGCUAAAUCAGAGAAGAGACUUGAUUGCCAAUUACAGAAAAUCUGUGGAGGAGCUUGUUAGGUCUGAGCCAUAGAGAUUGUUAUCCAUUCAGAUAGGUUCUUUUGGAAAGAAGGGGAGCAAAGUUGUUAGGUAUUUUCUUUUUUAAACAAGGAAAUGUAGCAUCAAUUCUAAAACACUCCUGGUUCAAGAAUGAGCGUGAAUGUAGAUGUGAGCUUUGUAUUUCUCCAUUCUCAUUCGGAUUAUUUAUGUUCAACCUUGGAGAUUUAAGCCUGUGCAUGAAUUUAUAAUUUAAUAGAUAUUCUGCAAGUUCCUUGUCAAGUUUUGGCCCAUGGAUGUCAAGGUUUGUAUCCAUGAAACAAGGUCAAAUUAUGUUUAAAUCAACGGCAAAUCUUUACCAUUCGCUUCUGUUGCCUGUAGCAGAAAGACGUGACAUAUUAUUAAGAGCAAACUCUGACAAUUUGGAGCAAUGAGGAAUGUAAUGUUAAUGAUAUAUGAUACAAAAUUGGUUGCCUCCUAUUGGUGCUGUUUAUCUAUAAUGUUGAAUACA